rnacentral:rRNA from 1 species
AUGGCUCAGGAUGAACGCUAGCUACAGGCUUAACACAUGCAAGUCGAGGGGAAACGAUAUUGAAAGCUUGCUUCUUAGGCGUCGACCGGCGAAUGGGUGAGUAACGCGUAUCCAACCUGCCCCUGAGUAAGGGAUAGCCCAUCGAAAGAUGGAUUAAUACCUUAUGGUUUCCUUUGAAGGCAUCAGAUUAGGAAUAAAGAUUUAUCGCUGAGGGAUGGGGAUGCGUCUGAUUAGCUUGUUGGCGGGGUAACGGCCCACCAAGGCGACGAUCAGUAGGGGUUCUGAGAGGAAGGUCCCCCACAUUGGUACUGAGACACGGACCAAACUCCUACGGGAGGCAGCAGUGAGGAAUAUUGGUCAAUGGGCGCAAGCCUGAACCAGCCAAGUAGCGUGCAGGAUGACUGCCCUAUGGGUUGUAAACUGCUUUUAUACGGGGAUAAAGUCAGGGUCGUGACCCUGUUUGCAGGUACCGUAUGAAUAAGGACCGGCUAAUUCCGUGCCAGCAGCGGC